CAAAUUAGAGCUUGAGCAAUAAAGUAUUUCAUUUACAUUGAAAAGAAAUUAAAAUUUAAUUAGUUUGA
rnacentral:tRNA from 1 species